GUCCACACCGUAACGUUGGGCGCUAGGUGUGGGAUCCAUUCCACGGGUUCCGUGCCGCAGCUAACGCAUUAAGCGCCCCGCCUGGGGAGUACGGCCGCAAGGCUAAACUCAAAGGAAUUGACGGGGCCCGCACAAGCGGCGGAGCAUGCGGAUUAAUUCGAUGCAACGCGAAGAACCUUACCUGGGUUUGACAUACGCCGGAAAGCAUCAGAGAUGGUGCCCCUUUUUGUCGGUGUACAGGUGGUGCAUGGCUGUCGU
rnacentral:rRNA from 1 species